rnacentral:rRNA from 1 species
CCUACGGGAGGCUGCAGUGGGGGAUAUUGCACAAUGGGGGAAACCCUGAUGCAGCGACGCCGCGUGGGCGAAGAAGUAUUUCGGUAUGUAAAGCCCUAUCAGCAGGGAAGAAGAAAUGACGGUACCUGAGUAAGAAGCACCGGCUAAAUACGUGCCAGCAGCCGCGGUAAUACGUAUGGUGCAAGCGUUAUCCGGAUUUACUGGGGGUAAAGGGAGCGCAGGCGGCACGGCAAGCCUGAUGUGAAAGUCCGCGGCCCAACCGCGGGACUGCAUUUGGAACUGCCGGGCUGGAGUGCCGGAGAGGUAGGCGGAAUGCCUAGUGUAGCGGUGAAAUGCGUAGAUAUUAGGAGGAACACCAGUGGCGAAGGCGGCAUACUGGACGGUGACUGACGCUGAGGCUCGAAAGCGUGGGGAGCAAACAGGAUUAGAUACCCUUGUAGUC